rnacentral:rRNA from 1 species
GAUGAACGCUGGCGGCGUGCUUAACACAUGCAAGUCGAACGGAAAGGCCGAAGCUUGCUUCGGUACUCGAGUGGCGAACGGGUGAGUAACACGUGGGUGAUCUGCCCUGUACUUCGGGAUAAGCUUGGGAAACUGGGUCUAAUACCGGAUAUGACGAUCUCUUGGAUGGGGUUGUGGAAAGCUUUUGCGGUAUGGGAUGAGCUCGCGGCCUAUCAGCUUGUUGGUGGGGUAAUGGCCUACCAAGGCGUCGACGGGUAGCCGGCCUGAGAGGGUGUACGGCCACAUUGGGACUGAGAUACGGGCCAGACUCCUACGGGAGGCAGCAGUGGGGAAUAUUGCACAAUGGGCGCAAGCCUGAUGCAGCGACGCCGCGUGGGGGAUGACGGCCUUCGGGUUGUAAACUCCUUUCGCAAUCGACGAAGCCUUUUGGUGACGGUAGGUUGAGAAGAAGCACCGGCUAACUACGUG